UGUGACUUGUGUGCAAGGAGUGGAAAGUGACAAAGUGCACCGCCACCAAAAGCAGCAAAUAGAGUAAAACAAGGAGGUGGCAGGAAGCAGGAGUAAUAUUGCAGAAUCAAAAAAGAUUUCGUGCAGAUUAGAAACCACAACACUUACCUCAUGUGCAAUAAUUAAAGCAGUUUCAUGCAAUCGUACAUCAAAAUAAGCAAGCUUCACGCCAUCUAAUGCUGAUUUUAAAGUUGAGCUGGAGAUGUCUGAAGGAAUCAUUGGAGGCCACCCUGGAGUAUGAAUGCAUGUUCGAGUUUUCCUGGAAACAGCAGAAUUGAAACAAAAAGUAAAUAAAAAUAGUACAACAAAAAACUAAUUUAGGCACCCUUACGUUUGAUUAUCCACAAUGAUAUAGGUAAACGCUGAAUUUCCCUCUUCAGAAACC